GUGACUUUAGUAGUAGAAUUUUUGAGACAACCCGUACCAAGUGGACCAUUUUUGCGUGUGUAUUAGUGAAAAUCUUAGGAUUGGUUACUUGUAGAUUAAUACAAUGAUCUAAGUCAAACUCUCUUGCUGUAACUCGCGCUUUACGCUGGCCGAAGGUAUUUUCGAUCACUCGACGAUAAUUGGGCAGUCGAUAGUUAAAAAGUUUUUCAACACCCGAUUGGUUAGCCACAUAAGGAUACGGUUUCAUCAGGUCGUGUGAUAAGUAAAAACUGAGUUGCCAAUAACAAACACAGAUACAUUUUUGCCUUCAAUUACUUUACUAUUUUGUACACAAAUACCAGCAUGUUCAUGGAAAUGUUUAAACGAACUCUUUGCAAUUAUUAUAUAUAGGAGUCAUUAUUUAUUCCUGUGGAUCCAAUAUUUAUAUACGUAAACUUUGAUCUACAAGUAAUAAAAAAUUUGUAGUAAUCUAUUGUAUCCUUCUUUGUGGACAGAACUGAUGUGGCAACCAACUACACAACCAAAGCAUUGUGAGAACCCAUCAACGAUUUUUUUUAAUUGUUGCGGAUAUGGAGGAUAUGUAUUAAUGCAAUCUGCAAGACCAGGGAUAAUAGGAUGCCCAACUCUUUCCAGUGUGAGAGCGCCUCAAAAUUAGCGUUCUUUAUAACAUUUUCCAUUGUAGCC